rnacentral:rRNA from 1 species
GCAAGUCGAACGGUAGGGGUACCUUCGGGUACUCUGAGAGUGGCGGACGGGUGAGUAACACGUAGGUGAUCUACCCUUGGAUGGGGGAUAGUCCAUGGAAACAUGGGGUAAUACCGCAUAAGGCCUGUAUUCUGCGGGGUAUAGGUGAAAGGCGCAAUUGUGCUGUCUGAGGAUGAGCCUGCGGUCCAUUAGUUAGUUGGCGGGGUAAAGGCCCACCAAGGCGAUGAUGGAUAGCCGGCCUGAGAGGACGAUC